rnacentral:rRNA from 1 species
AAAUGAAUAGACGGGGACCCGCACAACCAGUGGAGCGUGUGGUUCAAUUCGAGACAAAGCGAAAAACCUCACCAGGGUUUGACAUGUAACCGUUUAUUUCCCUAGAAAUAGGGAGAAAUCCGUAAGGAUGGUUACACAGGUGCUGCAUGGCUGUCCUCAGCUCGUGCCGUGAGGUGUUCCCUUAAGUGGGGAAACGAGUGCAACCCUCAUCCUAUGUUAAAUAUUCAUAGGAAACUGCCUUGCUAUGCAAGGAGGAAGGAGAGGCGGAUGUCAAGUCAGCAUGGCCCUUAUACCCUGGGCUACACACACCCUACAAUGGCGAAAAACAACGAGUCGCAAGCACGCGAGUGCAAGCUAAUCUCUUAAAUUUCGCCUCAGUUCAGAUCGCAGUCUGCAAUUCGACUGCGUGAAGUCGGAAUUGGUAGUAAUCGCGGAUCAGCAUGGCCGCGGUGAAUACGUUCUCGGGUCUUGUACACACCGCCCGU